CACGUAGGGCGCAAGCGUUGUCCGGAAUUAUUGGGCGUAAAGAGCUCGUAGGCGGCUUGUUGCGUCGGCUGUGAAAUCCCGUGGCUUAACUGCGGGCUUGCAGCUGAUACGGGCGGGCUGGAGUUCGGUAGGGGAGACUGGAAUUCCUGGUGUAGCGGUGAAAUGCGCAGAUAUCAGGAGGAACACCCGUGGCGAAGGCGGUUCUCUGGGACGGUACUGACGCUGAGACGCGAAAGCGUGGGGAGCGAACAGG
rnacentral:rRNA from 1 species